CCAAAAGUAAAUUAGAUUGAAAGUGUGUCAAUAAAGAAGACGAACUGCCAGAAAAGUAUACCAAAAUUUCGACCGUAAUGGGGUUUUUCGGCAUGUCGGCAGCAAGGGUUUCUGGUUAUUUGCGAAGAAGCGGUGAAUUUUUUAAAAAAUGCUUGUUUGAAUCGUUCCAGAUAGUCGCCUUCACUUGAUUUUGCUGUUUCACCUCACUAAACAAUGGCUUUGAAGCUCAAUGCGUCUGCCACUCACUCCCCAUAGAGCUUUCCACUAUCUCAUGGGACUCCGUGCAGUACAUUGAGUUUUAGACCAAAUCAAUGAUGUAGAAAUACCAUGAAAGUAUUUUGCAGCACAGAAUGCUGAAGUUCCCUAGCUUAUUGCUAUUGCAAUAGUUUUUGCUUUGCUUAAGAUUCCUCGUCCUUACUACCCGUAUUGGAGGUAGAUUUUCAUUCCACAUUUUGCAAACGGAGCGCUGUGGAGGACACUGUGGUUCAUUUUUCAAUGGCACCGGUCACCCCAGAGGAAAUCAGAAUUUAGUUAGCUUGAUGAAACUCCGAGAACUCUACAGGUUUGAUGGAAAAAGAUGUGAUUCUUUGAUUUGUCAGAUAGAUCUCGGUAAUAUGAUAAAAACACAACGAUGAAGUCAUAUUUAUUUUCUGCCGUUGAGGAUUUUUCUAUCCAUUCCACAAGUAUGCAUUCCACAAGUUUGAGCGUCAUGCCUAAUGGAAUUAUCGGAGCAAAGUCGGAUAUGGAGUUGAAGCCUUUAUGGAUGACAAGAAAAUCUAAGUUUAAGAGCUUUGGUAAUUUGCUUGCAAUGCCGGUGGGGAAAAAGCAAAAGCAUUUUGUCAAUGAAAUUCUUCUAAUGGUUUUCGGCAGUUGACAGUAGUUGAGUGAUUACAGCAAUUGAAAACAGUUGUUGUUGCAACAACUGGACAGUUAGACGGUUGAUCGGUUGGAACUACUCUAACUUCUAGUUCGCUCGCUGCUGGAUUGAUAUGGCUAGGCACAAAUCUUCCUCGCUUGCUUUGCUGGACUUGGCUUGGCGGAGGGCAUCGGCGCAAUUCAAGUGGUGCUGUCGUCGCUGGCCGGUAACCGAAUGGUUGACCGCUGGAAGAUCAACAUUUAGACAACUUUAAUAUUUCAGAAUUUCGCUCGUCAAUGAUGGAUGUAUGGCUGGACCGACUUGGGUGCAUGCGGAAAGAGCGUUGUUGCCGCAGCACGCUGGUCUUCUACUUUGACAAUUUUUGGGCCAAAAUAUCUCUUAAAAAGGUUAAAAAUAUCAAUAAUAUCCACAAGCGAGCUUUGGAUUAUAUCAAGCGAAACAAAUCAACAUAAAAAUUCAAGAAAUAUACAGUUUUAUCAAGCAGUAAAUAUGCUAUUAUUUGGAGUUAACCUAUUCUUUCAAUUGCUUAUACACCUAUGCUUGGUGUUUUCAAAUGAAUUUCGAGAUUGAAAACAUUUUUAGAACAUGGCUUUGCAUUUUCGAAAUGUGAUUUUGGUAGAUAGAACUGUUUUCUACCAUUCGUUUCUUAGUGAAAGUAUAUACCUGAUGAAAGACAAAAAAAGGUUGUAUACGUUCUUCCUCUUAUUCUUCUUGUUCCUCUGGUUCUUCCUCUUAUUCUUCUUGUUCCUCUGGAUAUGGUAAAUUCUCUCUCUCUCUCUCUCUAUAUAUAUAUAUAUAUAUGUGUAUAUAUUCUUGUGCAUUUCCCUUUUCGCUCGCCUUUCUUGUAUGAUUGUGAUUUUAAUAGAUAAACUAUUUUCUACCAUUCAUUUCUCCGUGAAAUUCUAUAUCUGAUCUGAUAAAUCCUUUCAGUUUUUAUUUUAUUUAAAAUUUUUAAUUAUUGUGCAUUUUCCUUUCUGCUGGACUUUCUUGUCUAGAUUGUCUCCCUCAUGAAACAAGAUGUGGUUCAAGUGGGCAUCCUCGAGCUCAUGGCCUUUUGGAUCACAAGCAAACCUCGGUAGAUCGUUUAGUGAUCGAUAUUGUCAUUCAAAGAAAAAAGUUUCAAGAGAUGUAAUUGUUUGGUCUGAACUUACUGGCGUAGGGUCUUCCGAUGCUUCAUAUCCAUUGUCAGUUCAAACAUCAGAGGAAUAUGCUUUUACAACCUAACAGCUUGCUGCCAUCAUCCUCUUUGUUCCAAUGCUUCUAGAACAUCCUUUUGUGCUCAUGUUCGACUGGUGCCGCAGAAAAGCUCAUUACUUUGUUGCCAAACCCUGGGCUUCUGUGACUGUUGCUCCCUUUAUGAAGAUUAAGUACGAAGGAUUUUAGUUUUAUGACUUAAGAUCCUUGUGUUCGACUUUUGAACAUAUACGCACUUUUGACGCUUGGGAGAAGCAUUAAGUUCAUUAGCAAGACUUCGAUAUUUCUUUUCCCAAUUAUCGGUUGGGCCAUGUAUCUGCUGGGGGUAAUACCAUCAAAGCACGUGGACUCCAGAAGCCAAUUGGACUGCCUUAAGCGAUGUAUGGCUGUCAUCAUGCUUCUUUCCAGGCGGCACGCAAAGCAAAGGCGGACAAUUAGGCUCUUUUAAGGUACAAUUUAUUUUUGUUCUGCUUGUCAUUGUUUAUGGAUUUGUAAUCGUGUAUGAUAAAUGCAUGCUUCAUUGAUCUCGAUUAGUUGCCUCAAUUAUUGCUUCGAUCUUUUCGUGAUUUUCUUUAACAAGUUGGUACCAAAGAUGUAUAUUCUAGAGAAACUGCGAUAAUUGCAUCUCGUCUAAUUAGCUAUAUGUGUGGGGAGACAAAUAAUUGUGUCUUUACUUAUAGUUUGGGAAUUGUAAAUUUUUAGAGUAAGCAAGAUUUUUAGAGUGUGUUUGUUUAAUGCUUAUAAUUUUUGUUGUGAGAUAUAUAGGAUAUUGUGGAAGUAGUAUAAGAAAAUGGUGUUUUGUUGACUUUUUAUUUUUAAAUGUAUAUUGUAUUUUUUUGGAUAAUAUUUUAAAGGACACGUAUAAUAUUAAAACAAGAUUUUUAAAGUGUGU